GAUAGCAUUAAAUGUUUGAGAAUAUAGCCUCCAAUGACUAUCCAAUAGACAAGGGAAACACAACAGAUUUUUAAAGGCACGAUCUCUGACUUCUCAAAGGCAUUGAACUUAGCUCCCUGGAAAGAGGUCAGCUUAGCAACAGAGGAAAACGUUACAAGGACCCCUGGGCUGACAACUUUUAACUACAGCCUGUGCCCUGUUUAUCAUACUCAACUCCUUUCAUGCUCUACCUUAAAAGAGACAGAAAUAUUUUAGGCUAAAAUCCAAUUAGUACUCUGAAAACAUCCUUUUGAAGGUUCAUUUCUUCUCUGCAAGCACGGCAAAGUGCUAAUGAAGGAACUGGAGCUCAUUAAGCACCAUGGCUUCAGGUACAGCCCUAAUAAACUUCCUGCACCUUAAUGAGUCCUGGAAGCUGCACUGCCCACUGCAGCAUUCUCUGUCAGAACGGAAGAGGCUGGCAGCCAGAGGGCACUGUCAAGUGUUUACAGGGAGAUCCAUCCAGACAAGGCCAUCAACUACAGUGGGCCUCAACACAGGCCACUCUGGAGCGUGAACACAUACAGUGUCUUACUGACCACCUCAGUAAAAAGAGCAUGUAACACGCCCCCAUCCCCGCUGAUUAUAAACUUAUUUAUAAAAAAUUCUCUUGGCUUUAAAAAGAUGCCCAAAACAUUUUAAAUUCCCAGGCUUGACAAAUUUUUAUGGAGUGGUCUACUAGGGUGCCUUCUGAGUGUCACUCUCAAAGGGAGUGUCAAUGAAGACACGGAUGGAAGGACAGAAAUUAAAUGAGUAAGAAACUUCCUGUCUGAGCACAACCAUCAAAGCUAUCUGUCUGGAGAAGGUAACUGCCUGUCAUGAGCAAAAGCACAAAGACAUCAGAAACUUUCAUCAAGAUUAUUUUCUGGGUAAUUCUUCAACCAUUACUUGUUUAGUAUAAGGAACUGUUUAAGUGAUAAAUAGUCCAGGUCACAGCUGAAGUACUCCAGUCAAGAUGAAAACACAGGAUAAAUGUUACGUAAAACACUCUACACUUUAAAUUGUGCUAAGUCAAGCAGCUCCUCAAGACCCCUGGGCUAGGGAACAUAACUCCAUAGGUAGUCUGCCUAGCGUGCGCAAAGCCCUGGAUUUCAUACUUAGCAGCACAUAAAAUCCAGGCUCAGUGGUCCACACCGGUAACCCUAACGUCUCUCGUGAGGGAGGAGGCAGGAGGACCAGAAGUUUAGAAUCAUCCUCAGCUACAAAACAUGAGAACUUGUCUCAAAAAACAAAACAAAACACCAGCACCAAAAGGAUGCGUGCCACUAGCAGCUAUGACAAAGGAAAAAAAAUACGAGUAUUUAAAAAAAUUUAACUUCUGGGUUUUUUAGGGGGUUAGUUCAACUCCUAUUCGUAAUAGUGUCGUAUGGACACUCAUACCAUGUGUCCCUACACUGAAAACCACUGAAGGUGCUUAAGGAUCGACUAGCACAGACUUGCCUUCCGAGGUCCCCAUUUUCCCUCCCACGUGGUGCAGGCCAGCAUCCGUUCCCCCGCACUCCGCAGGCCACGGCUGCCGUGCGACACCUGCUUGCAGCCCUCUGACCGUGCGCAGUACCUCCUGCGCUACCCCGGGAUCGCCAGCAUCCGCACCUCUGAAGCGAUCUGACCCUGGCACCGUCUCCAGAGCACAGGCUUCAUGGAGGUCCUCAGAAAAUGCAAAAGCCCUAAAAGCAGAAGGCUGGCCCCUCUGCAGAACAUCGUGGCUGAACCUAGGUUGUCGAGAGCCAUGGCUUGCAAUUCACCUUCAGCACUAAACUUUCUGGGGCUCCUGCUGGGCCCUCCAACCAAGCCUGAACUGACAAGGUCUCUAGGCUGGCUGACUUCUUGUCAACUUGACACAAGCUAGAGUCAUCUGGGAAGAGGAACCUCACUUGAGAAAAUGCCUCCAUCAGAUUG